rnacentral:rRNA from 1 species
GACGAACGCUGGCGGCGUGCUUAACACAUGCAAGUCGAACGGAAAGGCCCUGCUUUUGUGGGGUGCUCGAGUGGCGAACGGGUGAGUAACACGUGAGUAACCUGCCCUUGACUUUGGGAUAACUUCAGGAAACUGGGGCUAAUACCGGAUAGGAGCUCCUGCUGCAUGGUGGGGGUUGGAAAGUUUCGGCGGUUGGGGAUGGACUCGCGGCUUAUCAGCUUGUUGGGGGGGUAGUGGCUUACCAAGGCUUUGACGGGUAGCCGGCCUGGGAGGGUGACCGCCAACAUGGGGACGGGGAAACGGCCAGGACUCCUCCGGGAGGCAGCAGGGGGGAAUUUGGCACAAUGGGCGGAAGCCUGAUGAAGCAACGCCGCGUGCGGGAUGACGGCCUUCGGGUGGUAAACCGCUUUCGCCUGUGACGAAGCGUGAGUGACGGUAAUGGGUAAAGAAGCACCGGCUAACUACGUG